rnacentral:lncRNA from 1 species
GCUGCCUCCUGGUAGACAAACUCCCGGAAGCGGAGGCGGGAAAACUCGAGGUCAGCAGCAGAUCUCUCAGUGAUGGUUUCUGUUUCCUUCAGCUGGCUAGGCUCUUCCUGUUGGUUGCAUUGAUCCUUCUGGCUAGGCUCUUCCUGUUGGCUGAGCUCCUCCUGCUGGCUGGGUUGAUCUUUCUGACUAGGCUCUUGCUGUUGGCUGGGUUCCUCCUGCUGGCUGGGUUGAUCCUUCUGGCUAGGCUCUUGCUGUUGGCUGGGUUCCUCCUGUUGGUAUGGUUGAGCCUUCUGGCUAGACUCCUUCUGUUGACUGAGCUCCUCCUGCUGGCUGGAUUCCUCCUGCUGGCUGGAUUCCUCCUGCUGGCUGGGUUCCUCCUGUUCACUGAACCUUACCUGCUGAAUUGGCUUCUCUUGCUGAAUAAAUUCUUCUUUUUGGGUGCACUUAUCCUGCUGAAUGAACUCCUCCCGCAGAAUCAAUUCCUUCUGGAUGGGCCUCACCUGAUGAAUGAGUUCACGUUGGAUGGAAGCAUCCUGCUGAAUGGGCUCCUCCUGCUGGGUGAGUUCUUCCUGUUGGAUGGGCUUAUCCUGUUCAAUGGGCUCUGUCUGCUGCAUGAGUUCUUCCUGCUGCAUGGGUUCAUCUUGCUGCAUGGGUUCUUCCCACUGGCUGGGCUCAUCCUGCUGCAUAGGUUCUUCCUGCUGCAUGGGUACAUCCUUUUGGCCAGGUUCUCCCCACUGGCUGGGUUCUUGCAGUUGGACAGACUCUUCCUCUUGACUGGGCUCAUCCUGUUGACUAGGUUCUUGCUGCUCACUGAGUUCUUCCCUCUGACUAGUUUCCAGCAGCUGGAUGGGUUCUUCUUUCCGGAUGAGUUCAUCCUGCCUCCUGCAUUCCUCCUGCUGGCUAGGUUCUUGUUGCUUAAUGAGUCCUUCCUGCUGGAUGGGUUCCUCCUGCUGGCCAGGUUCUUCCUGCUGUACUGUAUCUUUUGACCGCAGAGUAGAUGGUUCUGGUUGGGGUGGAGAGCUUCUAGGAGAG